CACAUGUGGUACAUGCGUCAAGGCCGACAAUCUUCUCCUGUAAGAAUCCUAGUAAUUUCUGGCUCUCCCUGGAUUAACCUGUUUUUCUCUGUGCCCAGGAUCACACUACCUCCGGGAACCCUGCCGAACGCCACACCCCGCUCAGCACCUAUCUUACCUGGACUUACUCCCCUCCUCCGUGUUCUCCAUUCUGCCCUUUCGUCACCCCUUCAAACUGUACCGAGUCUGCCUUUGAGUCCUCAAGUUUUUGCACUAUGACAUUAACAGUUUUUGACUUAAUCGACAAUGAGCUUCAUUCAACCGCAUAUCACCUUGAAGAUUUCUACUCAGAGGAGCAAAUACGGACUACAAGGGAGAAUGGCAUUCCAUCAGAGCAGGUUGUAGAUCUCUCAGGAGAAGUCGGUAAGUAAGGUUACCUUAACUUUUAAUCAGUGUAUAGGUUUUAUUUAUUUACAAACUUUUACGCAGAUGUGGUAAUACACCCGCAGAUGGUGCAAGCAAAUGUGAACAGUACUUUAUGCAGGGUCUCUCCACUACCUUUUACGAGCCUUUUACGCCGCUGAAUCAGACUGAGCCUAUACCGAUCAACGGACCUCGGAAAAGGAAACACCGUAGAAGGCUCAUUUCAACCAGCAGUAGUAGGAGCAGCAGCAGGCCACCCACAAGCACAAACAGACCCUGACUAUCCGUGAAAGGCUGUCAGAAUUGCUGUUGGACUGCCAUGAUCAACUAGUUUUAAUGAGUAAUGCUUUCCGGCUAAUGGGUGAAAUGCUGGCUGUCUACAGUGAUCAUAAUUAGUAAGGUGAUUUAUCUUUUAUUUGUUUCAUUGGGUAAUUGUAUGAUUGUUGUGUUCACUUGCACAGUUAAACUUCGUCAUUUUAAUUUAUGACGUUGAUAUUU